GUUCUGACAGUAGAAGCUGAGUACGACUGAAAUUAACUGCAGGGGUUUUUUUUUAAUUGCAAUGUGUAACUUAACUACGAAGUGCUUUGAGUUUUGCUAAUACACUUUUAGCCCAUGUCAGUGAUCGUUCCCCAUUUCUGACGCUUUGCUUUUACUGUGCUAUUAUUGUCGGUCCGGAAUUAAACAUGACAAAGCUAUAGUUAAUCAUAAUGUAUUCUUGGAUAUUUAUUUUAAUAACAAUAUUUAUAUAAUUUAAAGUAGGUAAACAGCAAGUUAAAGGUUGAUACAAAAGAACAUGCAAUUCCCGUGAGACCACACACGCACAUUCAAAAUCUAAACUCAAUUCCAGUCAACUCUCAAAUCCAAGGUUAAAAUCACGACGUUAGGGGGCAGUGUAUUUUUUUCUAACCCCUUAACAACAACAAUUUGAAUUGAAUUUUAAGGUUAAAAUAAACUACGCUACGGGGAUUGUGUUUUGUACCGUAGUGCAGUGGAGCAUAUCUUCUCUGUUAUCUAGCAACAUUGCGUUUAUAUUUAUAUAUAAUACUGAAUUCGAAGUCUGGAACAACUUUAGAAAUUAACUAACUGUCGCUGCUAAUUUUCGAGCAAAAAAAUAUGCCACUUCCUGUUCCAUUCACGGCAGUCCCCCAAACUGACCGCUUGGUGUCACACUGGAGGCACAGUAGCUGUGGCGUGGAUCCUUUUACAUGUACAGAAGAACUUGGCAGGCCGACGACAUGUUCGUUCACACGUAUGAACGUCUGUCAGAAAUGUAGCAGGUGUCUCGGAGUUGAUGGAUGUGGAAUGUCCAAGUCAACAAUAUACUGUGAAAUGAACCGAGCUCCAACGUCUCCUCCUUCACGAGGAAACACCCAGAAAUGUGUGAGCAGCACAGCUAACGAUUUAAAACCUCCUACUGUAGUGAAACAUGGCCUUCUCAGUUAUCAGUGGACCAACUAUUUUUAUGACGCAUGCUACUUUGGGACAGAAGGCUCUCUGAUUCUGCUCCUGGAAAUCAGGGGGAGCCUGAAUAUCAAGAGGUCAAAUGAUGCUAAUAACCGCGUCAGUUUGACUGGAGCUGCUCAACACUCCAGUCACCACUAUCUGAAGUCUUGGCACCAGCCAUUUUCUGGACGGUCGCAUUUAUCCUUAUCCUCUAUUGGAUGCAACAUCUCUCCUCCCACUAAAAAGGAGGAGCUGGAGCCAAUCGCCAGACG